CAUCGGGUUUCUUAAAGACAGCUUGCUCCUCGUCGCACCACAGCGCUCGGCGCCUCCCGCGUCGCCAGGUGUCCACGGAUAACUUUGCAAAAUAGUCCUCCAUUUUUCCUCAAAUUAACUCGCAGUCCCAACUUCAGACCUAACGCAACUCCUCCCUCGUCCUUCUCUCCUCUCCUCCACCGCCGCCGUCGCACCUCGCGGCUGCGCGCGCCUCCCAGCUCGCCGCCUCCAAUCCAGCACGGUUGCCGCCACCUCUCCUCAUCUCCCUCUCAUCUCCAUGGCGAGCGGCCCCUUCCCUUGCCGAGCAGUGGAUGCCUAUUCCCACAGGCACUAUGCUCCGACCACCUCUGCUCCUACCGUGGAUCCACGACGACGACUGGGCCCGCCGUGCCGUCGGAAGGUUGGAGGAGGCCUAGGCGUAGUGCUCCACCAGGUAGCUCUUCUUCCCUUCCCACGAGAUGCAUAGCACUACCAGCAAAUCGAAAGCUUGCACAACUCAAGCGUCUUUUGCUCUCUCCUUUCCCCCCACCGAAGCAAGAAGCAACACCAACUCUGGCGUCCUUUGCUCCAAUUGAUUUGCAUCCCAAAUGGAUGGAACAGACCUGAAUCACCUCCUCCCGAUUUGAUCCGCCUGCUAACCGAUCUGAGCCAUGGCCCUAGCUAGGCUGAGGCUCUUAGCUUCUUGCCCUUGGAUUCUUGGUGUGGAGGCGAAACUGGUGAAGGGGAUGGACUCGCUCGCCGCGAUGACCAAGAAGCUGGUGACGACCUUGGCAAAGGUUGGUGAUCAUGAGGAAUUGAGGAUAUCUCACACAGGUUAGAACUGACUUAAUGCCUGUGGACUUGGAUAGGAGGUUGCAUAUGUCUCUGCAAAGGUUUCACAGGUAUAACUAAAUGUAAUUGUGCUCAGUUGAAAUUGUUACUUUAGGAUUCAGAGCAUUUUUUUUCAUACAGUAAAAAGAUUUUCCUCAUGGCAAUCAUGUUCACGUGUUCCAUGGAGCUUAGUAACCUGUGAGCAUUUACAACAAAUCUUCCCUCAUGGCUUGUUAGUAUGAAGUUUAAUAUUGCUGGGUUAAUUUUGUGGGUUGCUUGGUGUGAUUUUGCAUGCCGUGGUCUAAAAUGUACUUACUGUAUACCUAUAAGCAAUUUCAUCAAAUAGAAAUAUUUGAAAUUACUGCCUAGGCGCCUCCGAUAAUCCACAAACCAGUACGAAGUAGGGCUGCUUUCUUGAAUGUUCUAUCUUUGGGGGGACUUCAUCUUGUCAGUUGAUUCUCUUAGCAUCUUUCUUGUCCCUAUUGAUCUGCACCAUUCACAAGGGCAGGAGCAGUAUUUUUUUAAGUGAAAUACUUUCAAAUCGGUUACCCAUGCGCAGGGGAAGGGAGAACAGGUAGGCACUUCACUGAAAAUGCUUAACCAAACAUUCAUUUCAAAUUGGGUGCCCAUACAUAGGGAAAGGAAAACUAAGUAGGCAAUUUUGAAAUGCAUAACCAAAAAAAUUAGACAACUUGGAGAAAAUGCAUAACCAGAUUGAUGUUGUCGAUCAGGAUUUUUUUAAGUAAGUCCCCAGCAGGAUAAUUAUUAGCAAGAGUGUAUGAUGAUCUUAUAAUAAUUGCAUCAGGAUCAUUGAUCUCUUAUUUCAUGAACUGUGUGGUUUCACCUGAAAAGAAACUUGGCUUCACAUAUCAAGCUGUCUAAAACAUGUGUUUGUAAAGUUUGACAUUUUUGUUCCUGCAGCUUGAUACAAUAUAAAAAAUAAAACCAUACUUCUAUUUCUGAAAUUUAGCUUACUGAGAUAUGCAACUGGGAUCCACGUUGAACAAUCAGGCAUGAUUUAUUCGCUUGACUUGUGCUUCUCAAGUUUUGCUUGCUAUGUUCUGUUACCUCUGCACAAAUGGUACUUGAUUCUAUCAAUGAAUGUUUGGUGUCAACAGAAGUUGCUCUGUAUAUAGACAACUGCCUCUAAUAUCAUAAAAAAUACCUACCUCUAAAACUUGUACAGCCAUCACACUAAAAUGGCAAAUUGUAAUUGGCCUACAAUUAGAUUAUCAGCAUGCCUGGCACUGUUGGUGCUUUUUGUUGCCUUUAAUUGAUAUUAUUUUAUCUUUGUUCUACUAAUAUGUAGAGAUCGCUUGAAUAAAAAAUGAUAACCGGCAAGUUUGAAUUGAUGUCAUUGAGGCUAGGUUCUCCCUGAAUUUAGAAAGAGAAGAAUUGUAGCCUUAGUCUUCUGGGCUUGCCAUUUUCUUCUUGUGAAUCGAAUACACCAUGCUCAUUGGUCAUUGCAGUAAUAUAUGUUUGUAGAGAUUUCACUGUAUUUAUACAGUUUGGUACAAAAAUAUGUGUAAGUUCAUUUUCUUACUUAGUCUGACAAUGGUAGCAUUAUUAUGUACGUAAUGGUUAUUGUCACUGCAGUGCAAGCAAGGAUGGCUAGCACAAGAAGACGAUGCACUCCUUCUGUCUACUCAUUGCUCGCUACUUGGCCCGUUUAGAGCUUGUGUCAAACAACUAGAUCUAUUUUUGAAAAUUUAAUAGUAACCUUCCUUUUGUUUCGUAAACUUUAUUUAGUACAUUGCAUGUUUUUAUUUGAAGUUUUGGAUCCAUAUUCCAAGAUACCGGCGGAGAUGUUCAAAUUUAACUGUCCUGUGAAAUAGACUGUCAUUUUAAGACAUCUAGCAUGCAUUCCUUUCUCUAUA